GGGUAUAGCUCAGUGGUAGAGCGUGUGCUUAGGUAGCAUGCAUGAGGUCCUGGGUUCAAUCUUCAGUACUUCCA
rnacentral:tRNA from 1 species